UACGUAGGGGGCAAGCGUUGUCCGGAUUUAUUGGGCGUAAAGAGCUCGUAGGCGGUUUGGUAAGUCUGGUGUGAAAUCUCCACGCUCAACGUGGAGGGGCCACCCGAUACUGCCAUGACUGGAUUCCGGUAGAGGAGUGUGGAAUUCCCGGUGUAGCGGUGAAAUGCGCAGAUAUUAGGAGGAACACCGGUGGCGAAGGCGCCGCUCUGGGCCGAAAACUGACGCUGAGGAGCGAAAGCAUGGGUAGCAAACAGG
rnacentral:rRNA from 1 species